UACGGGGGGAGCAAGCGUUGUUCGGAUUUACUGGGCGUAAAGGGCGCGUAGGCGGCGCAACAAGUCACUUGUGAAAUCUCCGGGCUUAACUCGGAACGGUCAAGUGAUACUGUUGUGCUAGAGUGCGGAAGGGGCAACUGGAAUUCUCGGUGUAGCGGUGAAAUGCGUAGAUAUCGAGAGAAACACCUGCGGCGAAGGCGGGUUGCUGGGCCGACACUGACGCUGAUGCGCGAAAGCCAGGGGAGCGAACGGG
rnacentral:rRNA from 1 species